ensembl:lncRNA
CUCAGUGAACAUCCGAAAGGACAUCCACAAAACAGUACGAGCUCACAGGCCCAGACAGACUGGGGAGAACUGUUUCCAUCCUGCAAUAGCAUAGCAGAAUGCAGUGAUCAAGUACAGCAGGAAUGGCUGUAGAAGAGCAGAGAUGAAGAUCUCCCACUUCUCCUCACAUCUGAGUUGACUCAGGUUCUGUGGGCAAACAUACCUGUGAGUUUCUUUCACAGAGAGGAACAGUUUCAACAGGAAAAGAUGGCAGCAGAGGGAUUGUCUGACAAAAUGGAGUCUGACCUGGAAAGGCAUAUGAAGUGUGGAACUGAACUCCUCCAUGUGGAAAAAAUGGAACCCAUUGACAUUCAUUGAUGUUUGUUGAACAUUUAUGGAGACCAACCAGUGGAUGUGAGCGCUGCGAGGUGGAUUAAACAAGCAAGUUUCUGGGAUGUGCAGAAAUGGAGAUCACUGGAAGCAAGAAAAAAAAAAAAAAAGGGCGGUCAGCAAAACACUAGAAAUGCUUCAGAGGUGAUGACAGGAAUGAAGAGUCAACAUCUGCAAAGGCCAAC